GAAAUGCGAUAAUUAAUGUGAAUUGCAGAAUUCAGUGAAUCAUCGAGUCUUUGAACGCACAUUGCGCCCCCUGGUAUUCCGGGGGCAUGCCUGUCCGAGAGUCAUUGCUGCCCUCAAGCACGGCUUGUGUGUUGGGCUUCCGUCCCUGGCAACGGGGACGGGCCCAAAAGGCAGUGGCGGCACCAUGUCUGGUCCUCGAGCGUAUGGGGCUUUGUCACCCGCUCCCGUAGGUCCAGCUGGCAGCUAGCCUCGCAACCAAUCUUUUUAACCAGGUUGACCUCGGAUCAGGUAGGGAUACUCGCUGAACUUAAGC
rnacentral:misc_RNA from 1 species